UGGGGAAUUUUGGACAAUGGGCGCAAGCCUGAUCCAGCCAUGCCGCGUGCGGGAAGAAGGCCUUCGGGUUGUAAACCGCUUUGUCAGGGAAGAAAUCUUCUGAGUUAAUACCUCGGGAGGAUGACGGUACCUGAAGAAUAAGCACCGGCUAACUACGUGCCAGCAGCCGCGGUAAUACGUAGGGUGCAAGCGUUAAUCGGAAUUACUGGGCGUAAAGCGUGCGCAGGCGGUUUUGUAAGACAGAGGUGAAAUCCCCGGGCUCAACCUGGGAACUGCCUUUGUGACUGCAAGGCUUGAGUGCGGCAGAGGGGGAUGGAAUUCCGCGUGUAGCAUGAAAUGCGUAGAUAUGCGGAGGAACACCGAUGGCGAAGGCAAUCCCCUGGGCCUGCACUGACGCUCAUGCACGAAA
rnacentral:rRNA from 1 species